rnacentral:rRNA from 1 species
GAUGAACGCUGGCGGCGUGCCUAAUACAUGCAAGUCGAGCGAACAGACGAGGAGCUUGCUCCUCUGACGUUAGCGGCGGACGGGUGAGUAACACGUGGAUAACCUACCUAUAAGACUGGGAUAACUUCGGGAAACCGGAGCUAAUACCGGAUAAUAUAUUGAACCGCAUGGUUCAAUAGUGAAAGACGGUUUUGCUGUCACUUAUAGAUGGAUCCGCGCCGCAUUAGCUAGUUGGUAAGGUAACGGCUUACCAAGGCAACGAUGCGUAGCCGACCUGAGAGGGUGAUCGGCCACACUGGAACUGAGACACGGUCCAGACUCCUACGGGAGGCAGCAGUAGGGUAUCUUCCGCAAAGGGCGAAAGCCUGACGGAGCAACGCCGCGUGAGUGAUGAAGGUCUUCGGAUCGUAAAACUCUGUUAUUAGGGAAGAACAAAUGUGUAAGUAACUAUGCACGUCUUGACGGUACCUAAUCAGAAAGCCACGGCUAACUACGUG